rnacentral:rRNA from 1 species
UACGGAGGGAGCUAGCGUUGUUCGGAAUUACUGGGCGUAAAGCGCACGUAGGCGGCUUUGUAAGUUAGAGGUGAAAGCCCGGGGCUCAACCCCGGAAUUGCCUUUAAGACUGCAUCGCUUGAAUCCGGGAGAGGUGAGUGGAAUUCCGAGUGUAGAGGUGAAAUUCGUAGAUAUUCGGAAGAACACCAGUGGCGAAGGCGGCUCACUGGACCGGUACUGACGCUGAGGCGCGAAAGCGUGGGGAGCAAACAGG